rnacentral:lncRNA from 1 species
CCUCCUUCAGCAAAUUCUACCGGCGUGCACCACCACAACCGGCUAUUCUAUUUUCUCCUGUUAUUUUUUUCUCUCACAAGCCUACAUAUAUUUUUAAAUGUAGUGUAAACUUAUAGAGGUUUUUCUUUAUCUGGAUCUGUCUUUAUCAUCUUGGAAGUGCUGAGUCUAAACCCCAGAAGCACCGGGACAGUAUGAGCAUAUGGAAGCUGCUCCGAUGCCUCUCAGUGGUCAGAUGUGAGAGAGAAAACAGCCAGAGGCAUCUGGAAGAAUCUACAGCACAGAGAGAAAGAAGAAGACUGAACAUGAACAGCAGAUUGGACCUAGCCAGGGAUAUCUGCCCUGUUGAGCUCAUUUCUAGGGUUUGGGACUGCCUUGAAGUUUGAGAAACUGAGCUUCCUGUGGACCUGACAGACUGGACUUUCCCGAUCUCAUCUGCCCUCAGAAGUUAAGCAUGGUUGAGCCUGAUGCGUUUGUGGCUAGAAGUCAUGUGACAUGUUGUAGCCAAUAGAUGAAGCCAACAGAUGAAUCACUCACUGUGUGACUCAUCCAGGAAAAGUUAUAAAAAGUAAUGGAUGCACUCAAGCCUUCUUGCUGGUUUGGUUCUUCUUUCUUCCUUUUGAAUGCUGAUGCCAUGCCUGGAGGAGCAGCAGCCAUCUUGAGACCUAAGAAGAAAGAAGAAAUUAGAUGGAGUCUGAGUUCUUGAAGGUGUUCCUAGGCUGCUACAUCAGACUUGAGCUGCCUACUCUGGACUUGCAGUACUGAUAGUAAACUCCUAUAUGUUAAAACUACUGCCAUCACAGUUCCUUACUGAAGGCAUCCUGGAUGCUAUACUAUACAAGUACCCCACAAUAUAUGUUCCCACUGACUUUUUAUGUAUUUCCCAACUACUUUAUUUUGUUUUACUCUGGAAAUUAUUAGUCAAAGGGAAGGUGGGAUUAUGGGAGGUAUUUUUGUUUGUUUUCUUUUGUUUUUUUGGCUCUGGAUGUGUCUGUCAUUCAUGGCAUAGAGGUGUGUUGUUGUAACCACAGGUGAGUUAGGAUGACUUACAGCCCACUUAAGGAGCUAAGUCUGUUACUGCCCAUUAAGAGUGACCAUGUACAGAAUGGGUCCACAUGAAGAGAUGUCUGUGAUCUGAGCUUUACAGAAAAUCUGAGGAGGGAAAAUGACAGACAAAAGAAGGGUCUGAAACUGCUCUUGCCUAUGUAGCUUCUGCCAGGGGCUCCUUGUUCUCUGGGGCUACAAAGCCUAGCCCAAGCUCUGCCAACCACCACACAACCGGCAUUUAGGAUGGAUACCUCUUUGCAGUAGGAGAUACCCUGCACAUAGUAGGAUGUUUAGCAGCAAUCCAGGAGCCUACCCACUGGAUGACAGUAAAUCUUCUGCUUCUGGGUUAUAACAAUUAAAAUGUCUCCAAACGUUGCCAUAUUCUUCCUGGGGGAAAGGAACAAAAACUGGCUCCAGUUGAGAAGCAACUGGCAUAAGAAACAGCCCAAUUACAAAAAAAAAAAAAAAAAAAGAGUGAAAAUGCUGGUUCUGUU